CCUACGGGUGGCAGCAGUAGGGAAUUUUCGUCAAUGGGCGCAAGCCUGAACGAGCGAUGCCGCGUGAGUGAAGAAGGCCUUCGGGUCGUAAAGCUCUGUUGCGGGGGAAAAAAGGCAGCAUCAGGAAAUGGGUGCUGACUGAUGGUGCCCCGCCAGAAAGUCACGGCUAACUACGUGCCAGCAGCCGCGGUAAUACGUAGGUGGCGAGCGUUAUCCGGAAUGGUUGGGCGGAAAGGGUGCGCAGGCGGUCCUGCAAGUCUGGAGUGAAACGCAUGAGCUCAACUCAUGCAUGGCUUGGGAACCGGGAGGACGGGAGAGCAGGAGAGGGCGGUGGAACUCCAUGUGUAGCGGUAAAAUGCGUAGAUAUAUGGAAGAACACCAGUGGCGAAGACGGCCUGCUGGACUGCAACUGACGUUGAGGCCCGAAAGCGUGGGGAGCAAACAGGAUUAGAUACCCUUGUAGUC
rnacentral:rRNA from 1 species